CCUGGCGGCCGUAGCGCGGUGGUCCCACCUGACCCCAUGCCGAACUCAGAAGUGAAACGCCGUAGCGCCGAUGGUAGUGUGGGGUCUACCCAUGCGAGAGUAGGGAACUGCCAGGC
rnacentral:rRNA from 1 species